AACGAACGCUGGCGGCGGGCCUAACACAUGCAAGUCGAGCGGAGCGGCGGACGGGUGAGUAAUGCAUAGGAAUCUGCCUGGUAGCGGGGGAUAACGUCCGGAAACGGGCGCUAAUACCGCAUACUAUCAGACGAGCCUAGGUGGGAUUAGCUAGUUGGUGGGGUAAAGGCCUACCAAGGGGACGAUCCGUAACUGGUCUGCGAGGAUGAGCAGCCACACGGGAACGGAGACACGGUCAAGACUCCUACGGGAGGCAGCAGUGGGGAAUAUUGGACAAUGGGGGAAAGCCUGAUCCAGCCAUGCCGCGUGUGUGAAGAAGGUCUUCGGAUUGUAAAGCACUUUAAGUUGGGAGGCGUUACCAACAGAAUAAGCACCGGCUAACUUCGUGCCAGCAGCCGCGGUAAUUC
rnacentral:rRNA from 1 species